AUGUGAUGAAAACUAAACUGAAUACAGCUGGAAUUACCGGCAGAUUUUUCAGUGGUGACUAAACGGUUUUCUGAUG
ensembl:snoRNA small nucleolar RNA SNORD65